AGCGAACGCUGGCGGCAGGCCUAACACAUGCAAGUCGAACGGAUCCUUCGGGAUUAGUGGCGGACGGGUGAGUAACACGUGGGAACGUGCCCUUUGGUUCGGAACAACUCAGGGAAACUUGAGCUAAUACCGGAUGUGCCCUUCGGGGGAAAGAUUUAUCGCCAUUGGAGCGGCCCGCGUCUGAUUAGCUAGUUGGUGAGGUAACGGCCCACCAAGGCGACGAUCAGUAGCUGGUCUGAGAGGAUGAUCAGCCACACUGGGACUGAGACACGGCCCAGACUCCUACGGGAGGCAGCAGUGGGGAAUCUAGCGCAAUGGGCGAAAGCCUGACGCAGCCAUGCCGCGUGAAUGAUGAAGGUCUUAGGAUUGGAAAAUUCUUUCAGCGGGGACGAUAAUGACGGUACCCGCAGAAGAAGCUCCGGCUAACUUCGUG
rnacentral:rRNA from 1 species